UACGUAGGCAGCAAGCGUUGUUCGGAGUUACUGGGCGUAAAGGGUGUGUAGGCGGUUUUUUAAGUUUGGUGUGAAAUCUCCCGGCUCAACCGGGAGGGUGCGCCGAAUACUGAGGGACUAGAGUGCGGGAGAGGAAAGUGGAAUUCCUGGUGUAGCGGUGAAAUGCGUAGAUAUCAGGAGGAACACCGGUGGUGUAGACGGCUUUCUGGACCGUAACUGACGCUGAGACACGAAGGCCAGGGGAGCAAACGGG
rnacentral:rRNA from 1 species